rnacentral:misc_RNA from 1 species
UUUCCGUAGGUGAACCUGCGGAAGGAUCAUUAAAGAACGCCCCGUUUUUUGAAAUGGGUAAUUCUAAACCGUGUAUACAUACCUUUGUUGCUUUGGCAGGCCGCCCCUCAGGGCGUCGGCUCCGGCUGACUGCGCCUGCCAGAGGACCCAAACUCUUUUGUUUAGUGAUGUCUGGGUACUAUAUAAUAGUUAAAACUUUCAACAACGGAUCUCUUGGUUCUG